CCUGGCGGCACUAGCGCGGUGGUCCCACCUGACCCCAUGCCGAACUCAGAAGUGAAACGCCGUAGCGCCGAUGGUAGUGUGGGGUCUCCCCAUGUGAAAGUAGGGAACUGCCAGGC
rnacentral:rRNA from 1 species